rnacentral:misc_RNA from 1 species
GGCAGGCAACUGGCAGAUUACUCAUUCAAUUCUCAUAAUUCAUAUGCUUAUGAAUGUUUUCACUAGUAAUUUCUAAUUUGACAUUCUUGUGCCAUUUCAUUUCAGAGAAUCCAAACUUGCAACCUACUUCUACAUUAAAAUAAUGGCAGAUAACCAGCCCGGCAGAAAGAGAAGGGCGCUCAGUAGAUUACACAAAGGUUGGCCGAACUAAGGUAUUUUCUUGGGGCCAAUUUUAGCUAAUACUAUGACCAAAAAUAUGUUAAUAACCUUGUUCUAUCCCAAUCUGCACUUCUUUAGUUGGUCAACAUCUUCAGUCACGUCAUGCCUUGAUAAUGCUGCAAGCACCUCACACACUUUUUGAAAGGACACCAGCAGCAAACAGAAGAUUCCUCCGAGAAAACCUUAAUGUAUACACUGG